rnacentral:rRNA from 1 species
UUCAGAGGUCUCGAGCGUUGUUCGGAUUUACUGGGCGUAAAGGGAGCGUAGGCGGCCGGGUGUGUCGAAUGUGAAAGCCCACAACUCAACUGUGGAAUGGCAUUCGAAACUAACCUGGCUAGAGUACUGGAGAGGAGAGCGGAAUUCUUGGUGUAGCGGUGAAAUGCGUAGAUAUCAAGAGGAACACCGGUGGCGAAGGCGGAUCUCUGGACAGAUACUGACGCUGAGGCUCUAAAGUUAGGGGAGCAAACAGGAUUAGAUACCCGU